GGACGAACGCUGGCGGCGUGCUUAACACAUGCAAGUUGAACGGUCAUACAUGGAAGCUUGCUGAAGUGUAUGGUAGUAGCGGACGGGUGAGUAAUGCAUGAGAAUCUACCUUGAGGAGGGGGACAACAGCUGGAAACGGUUGCUAAUACCCCGUAUGCCGUGAGGUGAAAGGAGCGAUCCGCCUCAAGAGGGGCUCAUGUCCUAUCAGCUAGUUGGUGAGGUAAUGGCUCACCAAGGCGACGACGGGUAGCCGGCCUGAGAGGGCGACCGGCCACACUGGAACUGAGAGACGGUCCAGACUCCUACGGGAGGCAGCAGUGGGGAAUAUUGGGCAAUGGGGGGAACCCUGACCCAGCGACGCCGCGUAAGGGAAGACGGCCUUCGGGUUGUAAACCUUUUUUGUAUGGGAAGAAGGACGUGACGGUACCGUACGAAUAAGUCCCGGCUAACUACGUGCCAGCAGCCGCGGUAACACGUAGGAGGCAAACGUUAUCCGGAUUUACUGGGCGUAAAGCGCGUGUAGGUGGUUUGGUAAGUAGGGCGUGAAAGCUCCUGGCUCAACUGGGAGAGGACGUUCUAAACUGCCAAGCUUGAGGAUGGUAGAGGGAGGUGGAAUUCCGGGUGUAGCGGUGGAAUGCGCAGAUAUCCGGAGGAACACCAGUGGCGAAGGCGGCCUCCUGGACCACUCCUGACACUCAGACGCGAAAGCUAGGGUAGCAAACGGGAUUAGAGACCCCGGUAGUCCUAGCCCUAAACGAUGUAGACUUGGCGUCGGUGGUUUAAUCGCCAUCGGUGUCGUAGCUAACGCGAUAAGUCUACCGCCUGGGGACUACGGCCGCAAGGUUAAAACUCAAAGGAAUUGACGGGUCCCCGCACAAGCAGCGGAGCGUGUGGUUUAAUUCGAUGCUACACGAAGAACCUUACCUGGGUUUGAUAUAGAGGUAGUAGGGAAGCGAAAGCGGACCGACCCUUCGGGGAGCCUCUACAGGUGUUGCAUGGCUGUCGUCAGCUCGUGUCGUGAGAUGUUCGGUUAAGUCCGCUAACGAGCGCAACCCUCGCUGUGUGUUACAAGUGUCACACGGUACUGCCGAUAUUAAGUCGGAGGAAGGUGGGGAUGACGUCAAGUCAGCAUGACCUUUAUAUCCAGGGCUACACACACUCUACAAUGGCCAGUACAAUGGGUUGCCAAGCCGCGAGGCGGAGCCAAUCCUAAAAAGCUGGCCUCAGUUCAGAUUGCAGUCUGCAACUCGACUGCAUGAAGUUGGAGUUGCUAGUAACCGCAGGUCAGCAAUACUGCGGUGAAUACGUUCCCGGGGAU
rnacentral:rRNA from 1 species